rnacentral:rRNA from 1 species
AUGAUAAUAAACCAGCUGUUUCUCCCGUCCAAAAUCAUCCAGCUCCCAGGAGGAUGGAUGAACAUGCAGCUGCCGGUGAUGAGUUAUCCUCGAGGAUGUGCACAUAAGGAGGCUCCAACUACUAUUGUUGUUUUUCUUCUCAGUGUAGAGCUCUUUUUCCCCUUUCAAUCCCUCUCUUGUUUCUCCUCUUUUUUCCCUUUCGAUCCCUCUCUUGUUUCUCUACCUGAAGCCUUCAUCUCAGAAGUCCUCUCUAUGCUAGUAAUAAUAAUGUCGGGCAGGCAUCUUUUCUUUCUCUACCAAUGGCUCGAGAAUUAUGUCAAUCAGUAUAAAAACUUUCACUUUUGUAAGUCCUUUCAGACGGCUCAAAAUAGGCUGUUUUGCACAUUGUCUGAAAUGUCUUCAAGGUCUUAUAAAAGUGAACAGAGGGAGUAG